rnacentral:lncRNA from 1 species
GCCUGGGCCUGGCGGGGCCGCUCUGGGCCGGGCUAUGAGGGGCGCCCCCGAGUGGGGCCUGCGGCGGUGCUCCGGGGCUGAGCCCGAGGGGGCCGUGGGGAGGACCUGAGGGCGGCUGGGGGGGAGGGAACGAGAACGGGGUGGGGCGAAGGGGAGGAGGGAUGAGCAGGUGCGGACAGCGGGCCUGUUGGAGCAGGAAGGGGCGGGGGCGGCCGCGGCCCGGGGCGGGCAUGGAGGAGCGCGGAACGGUCUGAGCCGUGUGGGGCCGGUGGGUGCGGGGCGCUGCUGGGGGUGACGGGAGGAGGGGAGCAGCGGGGGGACACCGGACCGGGGGGAGUAGCAGGCCUUAAGGGUGAUUGGGGAAACGUGGGGGGGACGGCGGCCCUUGGGGGUGUGGGGACGGUCCGUGGAGCGAAGGGGGUUUCGGGCCCUCGGUUUGUUAUGUGCCCCGUUUGGAUGAGCCCCGGCCAGCAGGGACUCGGGAUGCUGUACUCCCAGCCCCAGUAUGCCCUCUGUCCCCUAUGGGACAGCGUUGUGUGGGGCAGCGAUGCUUGGGUGCUCCCUGGGCUGCUGGGCCGGGUGGGUCCUCGCUUUGCCUCUCCACAGCCCAGUGCUGGCCCUGCCAGCUGCAUUCAGGCACCCCGUCCUUCAGUCAGAGCAUUAGUGGGGCUGGCCGGGCAGGGGGUCCAGCUCUGCCCUCACCUCUGUGGCUGCAGCUGAAUCCCUAAAGCUUCCAUCCCGCGGUAAAUGAAUCCAGGCAGAGCAGCCAAACCCUGAGGUGGUCGCAUGGUUUGACAUCACCCCUCGCUGCUCCAUGGCAGCAGCACCGGGCACUGAGUGGGAUCCUGCCCUGUGCCCCUCAGCAGCAGCUCUUUGGGCUACAGCCUGAGGUCGCGCUGCAGGACGUGACCCUGUGUUGCCCUUGGUCCUGCUGAUAAUUGGCUUCAACGGGGAUUGUCUGCGAGGAGGAUUUGUUGUAGAGCCCGAGGUGAGGGAGGAAGCCAACACUCAGCAUCGUGGCCCUUUGUCCCUUGUCCCCAGGUGGAGGGGAGCCAGUGUGGAUGGGAGAGAUUUGUACCAUGCGCAGCGGAGCGAUGGUUUGGGGCUGAAGUAAGGUCCAUCAGCAUGCUCCAGGUACCACUGCCCCUGGAUCGUGAUGGGAUCCUAUUCCGGCUCCGUUUCACCACUCUGGCUGUUGGGACUGUGUUUUGCCCCUUGUUUGGUUUCCUUUUCUGCGUGAUUUGGUCUCUGCUCUUCCACUUCCAGGAGACAACAGCCACCCACUGCGGGG